rnacentral:lncRNA from 1 species
CACCAUCAGCAAUUAUUGAGCAUUAUUGUGCUGGGUACUGCACUGGACUCAACCUGCUUUGAAAUAAGUUAUAGUGUGAGUAGGUCAAAGGAAUGGGUAUAUAGACCUAGUAAAGAUAGUCUGUAAGUGCUUUGAAUGGAAUUUCAGGUCCAUAUCAUAGUAAAUGGAACAGUUUCAAAGGCUUCUUGGGACUAGGAUUUUAAUGGGCUCUGGAAAAUAACUAGAAUGCAAUUAUAUUGGGAGGGUAUUUCUGAAGGAGCAAACUGGGGGCAGAAUGGAAGUAGACUAUGUAGCUCUGUUGACAAUAAGUAGGAAAAGGAAAAUCUUUGUGACCAGAGUCAGAAUAAUGGAAAGUAGACUUGAGUAACAGUUGGGAGGACCUUAAAUGCUAAUUAAAGUAUUAAUUGGACAGUAUUCUAUUAAGUGUCCCUUGAAGGUUCUGGAGCAGGAUGUUGACAAGAGCAGGGUGCAUAUGAGGUUCUUGGUUGUAGAGUAAAAUGGAUGAGAUCUGUCCAUUCUCUCAUAUGAGAGGUAGUGUGACACUGCUUAAGACCACAGACUCUCAAGCUUGCUUUGCUUCUGUGUGAUCCCAAGCAAGUUAUUUAAUCAUUCUGUGUCUCAAUUUCUUCAUUUGUACAUUAAUAAGGACUUACCUGGUAGAACUCUUAGGGAGUGUUAAUAGUACCUAAACCCUAACGUUGCCUGGCAUGUAGUAAAUGCCUUAUAUGUUCAUCAUUAUAUUUGGUGGGGGGUUGGUUUAUAGAUUUUUUUUAGGUCCCACUUAAUUACCUAUAAACAGUAGUUUCAUUUUGUGUAUAUAGUGUAUGUAUGAGCUUUACGUUUGGUUAUGGAAGAUUUCCAUAAAAAUGAUAAAAUACAGGAUGCUCAGAACUAGUAUGGUAUACUUUAGCAAAAAAAUAAGCAAAUAAUAGGUACUUUUUAUCUCUAGUUUACAUAGUCUCCUAUUUUUAUAUCACUGGUUUCAGUCAACUGUAUAAAAUAUUUUUUCCAUUAGUAACCACAGUAACAGUAGGAUUUAUGUAUUUAUGUCAUAGUGAACAAAGAUAUUAUAUUUAAAAUAUUUUAGUC